UACGUAGGGUGCAAGCGUUAAUCGGAAUUACUGGGCGUAAAGCGUGCGCAGGCGGUUUUGUAAGCCAGAUGUGAAAUCCCCGGGCUUAACCUGGGAAUGGCAUUUGGGACUGCAAGGCUCGAGUGCGGCAGAGGAGACUGGAAUUCCUGGUGUAGCAGUGAAAUGCGUAGAUAUCAGGAGGAACACCGAUGGCGAAGGCAGUGUCCUGGGGAGUACCUGACGCUCAGGUGCGAAAGCCAGGGGAGCGAACGGG
rnacentral:rRNA from 1 species